rnacentral:lncRNA from 1 species
CCAAAGCUUUCUUAUUCCUAUUGAUGUUACACGCCAAGGCAUAAAUCACUCUGUUAUAGGCUAAGUUAUGUUCUACCAUGCUUGAAUUGUUGAAAAACUCAACACCAAUAAACCUAAGAACCCGUUGUUACUCACCAUGUCAUACUUUUUGGUCUGUAGAUCGACAAUAAAUAGUUUUGUGAAUGUAAAUUAAUAAAUCUAA